rnacentral:rRNA from 1 species
UACGUAGGGGGCGAGCGUUGUCCGGAUUUAUUGGGCGUAAAGAGCUCGUAGGCGGCUAAGCAAGUCGGGUGGGAAAUCUCCAGGCUCAACCUGGAGCCUUCGCCCGAUACUGCUUUGGCUUGAGUCCGGUAGGGGAGUGUGGAAUUCCCGGUGUAGCGGUGAAAUGCUUAGAUAUGACAUAGAACACCAAUUGCGAAGGCAGCUUGCUACACAGUUAUUGACGCUGAGGCACGAAAGCGUGGGGAUCAAACAGG